UGCAGAGGAGAAGGAAGUCAGGAAUAUGAAGUGCCAUAUUCUACUUUACACAUACAAAUACCAUAUGCCGAUUAUUACGUCUUAUUGCGCAUAUUAACAGCCUCCUAUCCACAGCUAAAAGAAAUCCAUAGACAGAAUUCACAAAAAGAAAACAAGCCAUUCAUGCCAAUUGCUGUGUAUCCAAUAAAUGAUAAAUCACCAGUAAUCGGACAUAUUCUACAAGGAAACCAAGAUUCUGGAUUCCUCAAAGGAACAACAGAUAAGGAUACCAGUCUUGCUGUUCCUAUUGCCACUUACCUCAUCAAUCACCCGUCACUUACAAAUGAUACAAGAUAUAUUAUUCAAGG